rnacentral:rRNA from 1 species
ACUGCGGAGAUCAUUACCGAGUGAGGGCCCUCUGGGUCCAACCUCCCACCCGUGUUUAUUUUACCUUGUUGCUUCGGCGGGCCCGCCUUAACUGGCCGCCGGGGGGCUUACGCCCCCGGGCCCGCGCCCGCCGAAGACACCCUCGAACUCUGUCUGAAGAUUGUAGUCUGAGUGAAAAUAUAAAUUAUUUAAAACUUUCAACAACGGAUCUCUUGGUUCCGGCAUCGAUGAAGAACGCAGCGAAAUGCGAUACGUAAUGUGAAUUGCAAAUUCAGUGAAUCAUCGAGUCUUUGAACGCACAUUGCGCCCCCUGGUAUUCCGGGGGGCAUGCCUGUCCGAGCGUCAUUUCUGCCCUCAAGCACGGCUUGUGUGUUGGGCCCCGUCCUCCGAUCCCGGGGGACGGGCCCGAAAGGCAGCGGCGGCACCGCGUCCGGUCCUCGAGCGUAUGGGGCUUUGUCACCCGCUCUGUAGGCCCGGCCGGCGCUUGCCGAUCAACCCAAAUUUUUAUCCAGGUUGACCUCGGAUCAGGUAGGGAUACCCGCUGAACUUAAGCAUAUCA